UACAGAGGGGGCAAGCGUUGUUCGGAAUUACUGGGCGUAAAGCGCACGUAGGCGGAUAUUUAAGUCGGGGGUGAAAUCCCGGGGCUCAACCCCGGAACUGCCUUCGAUACUGGGUAUCUUGAGUUCGGAAGAGGUGAGUGGAAUUGCGAGUGUAGAGGUGAAAUUCGUAGAUAUUCGCAGGAACACCAGUGGCGAAGGCGGCUCACUGGUCCGAUACUGACGCUGAGGUGCGAAAGCGUGGGGAGCAAACAGG
rnacentral:rRNA from 1 species